AAGUCGUAACAAGGUUUCCGUAGGUGAACCUGCGGAAGGAUCAUUAACACGUAUCCAAACGUUAAAACCCCCCCCGUGAACUUUCAUCCUGCUCUUGUAACCCGCGUAGUUCGCAAUCUCUGCCAAAGGGUCCCCAUGCCCCCUAAUAACCCCACAGUUUAAUGUGAAGCUCAAUGUAAUACAUUGGGUAAAAAAACCGAACAACUGUUAACAAUGGAUAUCUUGGUUCUC
rnacentral:misc_RNA from 1 species